GAAAAAUAUAUAUAUGUUAUUUAUUAAGUUUAGUGUGAAUAAAGAUUGUCAUGUGUUGGUAUCUCCCUUUUCUUUUAGUCACUUAAAAUAGCCAAAAAUUCACCACCUUUACCCUAAGCCCAAAACCCGUAAGUCCUUUAGAUAUGUGCGUUGUCUAUGUGAUAGAGUGGAGGUGUGAUUGUCAUACAAGCAUAUGAAUACAGAGUUUCAUAUUCGCGACAAAUUGUGAGGGGUGUGUUGCAUGAAAAUAAAAACCGGGAGCAUGUUAGGCUUAGUUGGGCGAGUUCUGUUUCAAAAAUGUGUACUGUUGCUUGCUGAAUUAACACAUCUAAUGCUAAUCAAGGAAUGGGGUAUGACUUUGGACCCUAGCUAAUGCAUAGUGGGGGCGUUUGGGGUAUUCGUUAUUUGUCCGUGAUAACGUUUCGAAUGGAGUUGCUUGAGGGCAAGCAAAGGUCAAGUGUGGGGAUGUGAUGCAUGGUAUUUGGAUUGUGAUUUAUAUGCGUUUAAUGUCCAAUCUUAUGCAUAUUUGAGUGUUUAUAUGUGUGGAAUUGGAUAACUAUGAGAAAAUGAUGCUUUGCAGGU
rnacentral:lncRNA from 1 species